rnacentral:rRNA from 1 species
CGGUAACAGCUCAAAUUUGAAAGCUAGCUCUUUUAGGGUUCGCAUUGUAAUUUGUAGAAGAUGCUUCGGGUGUGGCUCCGGUCUAAGUUCCUUGGAACAGGACGUCACAGAGGGUGAGAAUCCCGUACGUG